rnacentral:lncRNA from 1 species
CAUAACUAGUUUCCCCUCAAAAUAUUCUGAAACUCUGAAUCAUUUCCUGGGGGCGGCACUUUUCACUACGGCGUUACCCACGCAGGGAGCCGGAGGAGCCCCCGCCGGAGGAUGCCGCGGGCGGUGGGCUAAGCGCCCCCGCAUCCACAGUUUCUUUGGGCGCUGCCAGAGAACAGGGCUGGCUGAGGCUGGGACACAGGACAACCUGAAGGAGCCCCCUUCACUUCUCCCAAGCUGCUCAAGGCCAGUAGUCAUCUGCAGGACACCGCGAGGUGGUGGCCUCAGCCACAGUGGCGUUCCCAUGCCAAGGAAGGUCGUACCACGGUGUCGGUGUGAAUCUCCAGACAAUAACCAGCAUUCAGCAGCAAACAUACCUUUGACCUCGCUGCUCGGUUAUGGCCAGCCUGUGCUGAAAUUCAAGGACUUGGGACAGAAAGGAUAGCUCCUCGUUCCCCUCCCUUCACCUCCUCAUGUCCUGCUUCCAUAAAUUGACCAACGCCCCGGUCACAGCUGGGUUGUGCUGUCCUCCAGAGCAGGGGAGUGCUAUGGUUCUUGUUAGAGCGCUCCGCGUAUGUAAAGAGAUGUAAAUGCAGCUCAGGUCAUGAAGUCAGCCAGGGCAAGAAGGAUACA